rnacentral:ncRNA from 2 species
UACGUUGCGUAUGACUGACGGAAAUUCGGCAGGUUACUGCGGGGGAGUACGCAAACGGUUCAAGCCGUCCGUCUGGGCAAUUUCU